GAGAGGAAGGUGCGGACGACGUCAAGUCAUCAUGGCCCUUACGUCCAGGGCUACACACGUGCUACAAUGGUCAUACAGAGGGUAGCGAGCUAGCAAUAGCAAGCCAAUCUCAAAAAGUGCAUCUCAGUUCGGAUUGGGGUCUGCAACUCGACCCUAUGAAGUUGGAAUCGCUUAAUCGCGUAUCAGCAAUGACGC
rnacentral:rRNA from 14 species